rnacentral:rRNA from 1 species
UUUUAUGGAGAGUUUGAUCCUGGCUCAGGAUGAACGCUGGCGGCGUGCCUAAUACAUGCAAGUCGAGCGAACGGACGAGAAGCUUGCUUCUCUGAUGUUAGCGGCGGACGGGGGAGUAACACGUGGAUAACCUACCUAUAAGACUGGGAUAACUUCGGGAAACCGGAGCUAAUACCGGAUAAUAUUUUGAACCGCAUGGUUCAAAAGUGAAAGACGGUCUUGCUGUCACUUAUAGAUGGAUCCGCGCUGCAUUAGCUAGUUGGUAAGGUAACGGCUUACCAAGGCAACGAUGCAUAGCCGACCUGAGAGGGUGAUCGGCCACACUGGAACUGAGACACGGUCCAGACUCCUACGGGAGGCAGCAGUAGGGAAUCUUCCGCAAUGGGCGAAAGCCUGACGGAGCAACGCCGCGUGAGUGAUGAAGGUCUUCGGAUCGUAAAACUCUGUUAUUAGGGAAGAACAUAUGUGUAAGUAACUGUGCACAUCUUGACGGUACCUAAUCAGAAAGCCACGGCUAACUACGUGCCAGCAGCCGCGGUAAUACGUAGGUGGCAAGCGUUAUCCGGAAUUAUUGGGCGUAAAGCGCGCGUAGGCGGUUUUUUAAGUCUGAUGUGAAAGCCCACGGCUCAACCGUGGAGGGUCAUUGGAAACUGGAAAACUUGAGUGCAGAAGAGGAAAGUGGAAUUCCAUGUGUAGCGGUGAAAUGCGCAGAGAUAUGGAGGAACACCAGUGGCGAAGGCGACUUUCUGGUCUGUAACUGACGCUGAUGUGCGAAAGCGUGGGGAUCAAACAGGAUUAGAUACCCUGGUAGUCCACGCCGUAAACGAUGAGUGCUAAGUGUUAGGGGGUUUCCGCCCCUUAGUGCUGCAGCUAACGCAUUAAGCACUCCGCCUGGGGAGUACGACCGCAAGGUUGAAACUCAAAGGAAUUGACGGGGACCCGCACAAGCGGUGGAGCAUGUGGUUUAAUUCGAAGCAACGCGAAGAACCUUACCAAAUCUUGACAUCCUUUGACAACUCUAGAGAUAGAGCCUUCCCCUUCGGGGGACAAAGUGACAGGUGGUGCAUGGUUGUCGUCAGCUCGUGUCGUGAGAUGUUGGGUUAAGUCCCGCAACGAGCGCAACCCUUAAGCUUAGUUGCCA